AGGCUGCAGUGAGUCAAGAUGGCACCACUGCACUCCAGCCUGGGUGAUGGAGUGAGACUCUAUCAAAAAAAGAAAGAAAAAAAGUCCAGCCUGGCUGGAGCACACUCUCUGUGAAGUGUGCAAGGAAGUCUCCAGUGUCACCUAGAUCGCAGGCCCCAGGUUCCAGAUGCAGCUGUAAAAUAGACCGGUGGAUUCAGAGCCUCUGAUGGGGCCCAUGAGUUUAUCCUCUUCCAAAGCCCUUUAGUGACUAUGAUGGUCUCCAGGCUGGGAAGCCCUUGCUUGAGGAGCAGCCCUUGGCUUCAGGGUUCACACACAUCCCUCCCCAGGGCCACCUUGGGAGCCAAGACAGGUCGGGUAUGAGCACUGCUGCUCUUGAUCCCAAGUCCCAAGUGUCCCUGAGACAAAGGGCACUAUGGGGAAGGGGUGUGGGCGCAGCCUCCUCCCCAGGAUGCCUCUGGAGCUGGGAGGGCAUCAGUCCUCACGGGCAUUGUUCCCUCUCUUUGCUUCCAGCAGUGUCUCCACUACCAUAGACCCCUUCUGGGACAUCAGCUUGGAUCUGCCCAGCUGUUCCACCCCAUUCUGGCCCCUGAGCCCAGGGAGCAAGGGCAGCAUGGCGAACAAGGAAAGCCACGUGUCUGGGAAUCACCACAAUCAUGGACUGCCUCGAAGAACGAAGGCCCUCAGCAUUCAGAUCCAGUCCAGGAGUUGGCAAGCUCUUUGUCUAAAGGCCCAGACUGUGAAGAUACCAGGCUCCACGGGCCACAUGCGAUCACACAAUCUCUGUUGCAUGUUCUUUGUUUCAUUUUACAACUCUUUAAAUGUGGAAAGCACCCAUUCCUAGCUCACUGCCUGGAAUGCGUGACUCCUGAUCUAGGCAAAAGACUGUCUUCUGUCUGGUGAAAGAAACAAAUUGUUUAUUUAUUCUGCUACGGGUCGUGGAUCUUUGCUUGUCUAUGCUUUGCUGGGUUUGCUGUGAAAUUACUUUUUGUACCCUUGGUGUUAUCACGGAACAAUUCCAUCAUUUGAAGCCUUGACUGGAACCCUGUAAAAGAGGACUUGUAUGGGUUAUCAUUGUUAUGGAAUCUGUAAUUCUAGAUGUAGCUAAAAGGCAAUUCCAUAAAAUACAAUGAGAUACACAGACACAUGUUAUUGAAGGAAGCCCCUGAAGUCUCCAGUGACAUUUCUGUUCUUCUUUCCUCUUCUCUGCCUUUUUCCUGUUUCUGCAGUGAUUUGAACACUCAGCCAAGCUGUGACGGAAGAUCGCCACAUACAUGUUCUUUCCCCUGGAGCUGGACAUGGCCCCUUUCAUGGCCUCCAGGUCUAGGUGGGGGUGUUGGCCUGUUCUGUGACUGGAGGGGCUGUGGUCAGGACAGGAACCCCGCUCGGAGCUCCUGUGAUAAGAUAACUGUUGAUAUUAAUAUAAACCCCACCUUCCAAAAACCUAUUUAUCCUGAUCUUAAGAUAAGACACACUUUAAUGAGUUGUUUUUGCCAGAUAUACUGAUUUUGCUUUGAAUGUUUCUCUAACAAUUUUUGAUCCACUUUCAAACUGGCAAAGUCAGGUGGGAUCACAGCGAGAAGUCAGCACUUUAAUUGGUGGAACAGGUGUUGAAGUACAGAUAGACAUCGUUGCUUUUGCAGUUGUAGAUUGCAUUUUCCUUUUCAGAUCUGUAAUAUCGUGGGGCCCUUGGAAUUUAAGCCUCCAGAAUAUCAUGCUGCUCACUAAUGUGUGAGACACAUAUGAGUUUCCUACAGAUCUGUGACAAACGACCAAAAACUUGGAAGCUUAGAACCACAGAAAUUAAUUUUCUCACAGUUCUAGAGGUCGGAAAUCUGAAAUCAAGGGGUUGGCAGGGCCCCACUUCCUACAAAGGGUCUAGGGGGAUUCCAUUCCUCCCUAGACCCUUUGUCUGACCCUAGACAGCCUCCAGCUGCCGGUGGUUCCAUAUGUAACUUCUGUGGCCAUGUCCCUUCCCUGGCUUCCUGGUCACACGGCCGGCUCCUCUGAGUGUGUGUCCAAUCUCCCUCUGCUGUCAGAAACAGUGGUCAUUGGAUUUGGGGCCCAGGCAGAUCAUUCCAGGAGUAUCUCAUCUCGACAUCCUUACCUUGAUUCCAGCUGCAAAGACUUUUCACAAAUGAGGUCCCAGUCUCAGGUUCUGAGGGUUGAGACGUGGAUGUUAUGAUUUGGAGGAUGUUGUUUUUCAGAGGGCCACCGUCCCAGUGCCAGCACUGUGGAAAGCAUGUUGCCUUUGGUUAGUUAUCGGCCUCUUCCUGGUGUCCUUUCUCAUGGCUGUCCCACCUGUCUUGUGGCACACAGAUGACCUCUUGAAUAAAACAAGAUCACCAGAGUCAGAGCUCCGUGUUGUCAGCCUGACCACGAUGUCAUGUACCGAGGGAGGUGAUAGUACUGUUGCUAAGGUCAGGGUCACAAAGAUCUUGUGUUUUCAGCCAACCACAACCAUGGGAAAACACAGUAAAUAACGCCUGGGACUUCCUGUUCCCAGUACCCGUGUCUCCCCCAUCUCACCAGGAGAGGUGCUGGUCAUGAAAUAAUGAGCAGCAAUCUUUGCCCCUUUUGAGGAAGCAGCUGUCUAGGUUGUGGAAUGGAUUUGACUUACGCUUUUCAAAUGAACCCUUUACAUGUGUGAGGAAGAGUGCCCUCACCAUCUCUGUGUCACAAACCAAACUCACGUUUGUCCCAGAUCCAACUCCCAUCACCAAGCCCAUUCAGGACCCACCUUGGGAGGGCCAGGUGACUCGGGGACCCAGGUGUGCUCUGCCUUGGUAUCCUCACAAAAUGUGGGGUGAUUUCUACCUGAAACAUAAAGUGCACCCCAGUACAGUGUCUGCGUGGUCGGGCCUGGAUAAGUGUUGGUAUCACGAGAGCCUUGUGUCUCUGUGUCUGAUGAUUUUGAAUGAUGCUGAAUUCUGCUGUCGUUUGUUAUAGCAAAGAGAGCAGGAUGAAUGGACAGUCCCAGCAGCCCACGGACAGUCUCAAUAACAACAAGUAAGAGGUGCUCAGUGAUGUGGGUGUCGGGGGCCUCUGGCGGAGAGCCAGCGAUGGGCUCCUGUCUGCCCUGCAGGGCGCCCAGCAGAGCUCCUGCCACUGACCAGCUUCCCGCCUGGCUGCCCGUGGCUGUGCUAGGAGAGGCUGCUCCAUGCGGGGCCACAGAUGCUGCCUCCUAUUGGAGGAGCCCAUCUCAACUCCUGGCCUAUGGGAGAAGGGAGGUUCCAUCUGGAAAGCUCAGUGUCCAUUCUUCUUGCCUUGGGGUUGUAGAAAGAAUGAAAGGCUGGGAUGUUCCAGGAUCCCCGCUGCUGACUGCAGUCACCACUCCCACUAGAUGCGGUUCCAGGAAGCAGCUGGACCUGGGUGAGAGCCAAGCGGGGUGACCAGGCUCUCCUUGUCCCUGUAGCCUCCUGUGCAUCAGCCUGAGUCCCUGGGGAUUGACAGGCC
rnacentral:lncRNA from 10 species